GACGGGUCAAACACAAUGGUGAUAAAAGAGAGGACACAAGAGACAACAGAGAAAGAAGCCAUGGAUGAACAGGAGAGAAAAACUAUAAAAAUAAAAAAUUCUUCAAUCAAGACACUUGGAAAAGGAAAAAAGCAACCUCGAUGCUUUGAAGAACUACCAAACAUGCCACAAUGCACAAUAAAAAAGGGAGCAAACCCAUAACUUUAAAAGGAACUCUGAUGAAGGCGUCGUUAAUGGCAUAGUAGUCACCUGGCCGAAACGAUCAAAACUGUGUGAUCGUCGGUCAAAACUUAAACUCUGGUAAGGGCAUCAAUAGACAAUAGCGGUAGACGACGACGUUGCCAACAGCAGUAGAUGGCCCCGCCGCCGGCAGUGGCGGAUGUAGUGGUAGAGGCACCAGAAACUUUUACCUUAGAGGAACCAGACUCUGAUACCAUGUUAAAUAUAGUGAAAAUUAUAUAUAUGGUUAAAUAUACACAUAGGGUUCUCUAUUUAUAAUAGAAGAAAUAUGGGCUAAGCCCAAAAUACAAAUAAAAAAU
rnacentral:lncRNA from 1 species